rnacentral:rRNA from 1 species
GUGGGGAAUUUUGGACAAUGGGCGCAAGCCUGAUCCAGCAAUGCCGCGUGCAGGAAGAAGGCCUUCGGGUUGUAAACUGCUUUUGUACGGAACGAAACGGUCCGGGUUAAUACCCUGGGCUAAUGACGGUACCGUAAGAAUAAGCACCGGCUAACUACGUGCCAGCAGCCGCGGUAAUACGUAGGGUGCAAGCGUUAAUCGGAAUUACUGGGCGUAAAGCGUGCGCAGGCGGUUUUGUAAGACAGGCGUGAAAUCCCCGGGCCCAACCUGGGAAUUGCGCUUGUGACUGAAAGGCUGGAGUGCGGCAGAGGGGGAUGGAAUUCCGCGUGUAGCAGUGAAAUGCGUAGAGAUGCGGAGGAACACCGAUGGCGAAGGCAGCCUCCUGGGAUAACACUGACGCUCAGGCACGAAAGCGUGGGGAGCAAACAGGAUUAGAUAUCCCGGUAGUCC